CUGGUCCCGCCCUCUCCGACCCCCAGGGCUCUGCGUCACUUCCUGCCUCACGUAUACCUCUGGAAAUGGACGGCCCCGCGGCCAGGAGUGCGCACGCACCGGAGUCGGGAGCCCUUGGCUGGAGCGCGGGAGCUGGAAACUAUAUUCAGCAUCCUGUAAUAAACUCUAAAGGAAAAUAAGAAGAAAAAAUAGGAGUUCCUGUCCUGGCGCAGCGGAAACGAAUCCGACUAGGAACCAUGCCGGUUGGAUCCCUGGCCUCGCUCAGUGGGUUAAGGAUCCGGUGUUGCCGUGUGCUGUGCUGUAGGUCGCACAGGCGGCUCGGAUCCCGCGUUGCUGUGGCUGUGGUGUAGGCCGGCGGCUGUAACUCCGAUUAGAACUUCCGUAUGCCGCAGUGCGGCCCUAAAAAAAGCAAAACAAACAUAAAAGUAUAGAUCUGUACAUAUAUGUGUAUAACCGAAUCACUUUGCUGUAUACCUGAAACUAACACAAUAUUGUAAAUCAACUAUAAUUUUUUUUGAAAAAGCAAAAUACAAAUUUGUAUUUAGGAUGUGUAAAAGCUGCUUAUGAAUCGCAAGGACUGGCACUGAGAUUUGCAGGAUGUUUUAAUGCAUGAAGAAAUGGAAAGGAAAAUAGAAACAAGCGAUUUAUUGGGGUGCGAAAUUGCAGAAGUUUCCUGUUCAUUGUCAUUGUUAUUAUAAUAGGAUUGUGCAAUGCUUAACAAAUAAAAUGAUAUUGUUAUCACUUUCUAAACUCUG